UACGUAGGGACCGAGCGUUGUCCGGAAUCAUUGGGCGUAAAGAGCGUGUAGGCGGCCUGUUAAGUCUUGCGUGAAAUCUCGGGGCUCAACCCCGAGCGGUCGUGAGAAACUGGCAGGCUAGGAGUGCGGGGAGAGGAGAGUGGAAUUCCCGGUGUGAGCGGUGAAAUGCGCAGAUAGUCGGGAAGAACACCCGUGGCGAAGGCGGCUAGCUCUGGA
rnacentral:rRNA from 1 species